rnacentral:rRNA from 1 species
GGAUGAACGCUGGCGGUAUGCUUAACACAUGCAAGUCGAACGGAGUACUUAGGUACUUAGUGGCGGACGGGUGAGUAACGCGUGAGAAUCUGCCUUCAGGUUCGGGACAACCACUGGAAACGGUGGCUAAUACCGAAUGUGCAGAAAUGUGAAAUAUUUAUAGCCUGGAGAUGAGCUCGCGUCUGAUUAGCUAGUAGGUGUGGUAAGAGCGCACCUAGGCGACGAUCAGUAGCUGGUCUGAGAGGAUGAUCAGCCACACUGGGACUGAGACACGGCCCAGACUCCUACGGGAGGCAGCAGUGGGGAAUUUUCCGCAAUGGGCGAAAGCCUGACGGAGCAAUACCGCGUGAGGGAGGAAGGCUCUUGGGUUGUAAACCUCUUUUCUCAGGGAAGAAAAAAAUGACGGUACCUGAGGAAUAAGCAUCGGCUAACUCCGUGCCAGCAGCCGCGGUAAUACGGAGGAUGCAAGCGUUAUCCGGAAUGAUUGGGCGUAAAGCGUCCGCAGGUGGCUGUGUAAGUCUGCUGUUAAAUAGUGAGGCUCAACCUCAUAAAGGCAGUGGAAACUACACGGCUAGAGUGCGUUCGGGGCAGAGGGAAUUCCUGGUGUAGCGGUGAAAUGCGUAGAGAUCAGGAAGAACACCGGUGGCGAAAGCGCUCUGCUAGGCCGCAACUGACACUGAGGGACGAAAGCUAGGGGAGCGAAUGGGAUUAGAUACCCCAGUAGUCCUAGCCGUAAACGAUGGAUACUAGGCGUGGCUUGUAUCGACCCGAGCCGUGCCGUAGCUAACGCGUUAAGUAUCCCGCCUGGGGAGUACGCAGGCAACUGUGAAACUCAAAGGAAUUGACGGGGGCCCGCACAAGCGGUGGAGUAUGUGGUUUAAUUCGAUGCAACGCGAAGAACCUUACCAGGACUUGACAUGUCGCGAAUCCUUACGAAAGUAGGGAGUGCCUUCGGGAGCGCGAACACAGGUGGUGCAUGGCUGUCGUCAGCUCGUGUCGUGAGAUGUUGGGUUAAGUCCCGCAACGAGCGCAACCCUCGUUUUUAGUUGCCAUCAUUAAGUUGGGCACUCUAGAGAGACUGCCGGUGACAAACCGGAGGAAGGUGGGGAUGACGUCAAGUCAGCAUGCCCCUUACGUUCUGGGCUACACACGUACUACAAUGCUACGGACAAAGGGCAGCUACACAGCGAUGUGAUGCUAAUCUCAUAAACCGUAGCUCAGUUCAGAUCGCAGGCUGCAACUCGCCUGCGUGAAGGAGGAAUCGCUAGUAAUUGCAGGUCAGCAUACUGCAGUGAAUUCGUUCCCGGGCCUUGUACACACCGCCCGUCACACCAUGGAAGCUGGUAGUGCCCGAAGUCAUUACCCCAACCGCUUGCGGAGGGGGAUGCCUAAGGCAGGACUGGUGACUGGGGUGAAGUCGUAACAAGGUAGCCGUACCGGAAGGUGUGGCUGGAUCACCUCCUUU